UGGAGCUCAUCCUUCCGCCGCCGCUCACGGUUCUCCUCGAUCAACUUCCGCUUGGCGAGCCGCUUGCUGUCGUCCAGCACCACUGGGAGGGAGAGGUGGAGGUGUAGAGGAUGGGAGGGAGUGGUGGAGGUGUAGAGGAUGGGAGGGAGAGGUGGAGGUGUAGAGGAUGGGAGGGAGAGGUGGAGGUGUAGAGGAUGGGAGGGAGAGGUGGAGGUGUAGAGGAUGGGAGGGAGAGGUGGAGGUGUAGAGGAUGGGAGGGAGAGGUGGAGGUGUAGAGGAUGGGAGGGAGAGGUGGAGGUGUAGAGGAUGGGAGGGAGAGGUGGAGGUGUAGAGGAUGGGAGGGAGAGGUGGAGGUGUAGAGGAUGGGAGGGAGAGGUGGAGGUGUAGAGGAUGGGAGGGAGAGGUGGAGGUGUAGAGGAUGGGAGGGAGAGGUGGAGGUGUAGAGGAUGGGAGGGAGAGGUGGAGGUGUAGAGGAUGGGAGGGAGAGGUGGAGGUGUAGAGGAUGGGAGGGAGAGGUGGAGGUGUAGAGGAUGGGAGGGAGUGGUGGAGGUGUAGAGGAUGGGAGGGAGUGGUGGAGGUGUAGAGGAUGGGAGGGAGAGGUGGAGGUGUAGAGGAUGGGAGGGAGAGGUGGAGGUGUAGAGGAUGGGAGGGAGAGGUGGAGGUGUAGAGGAUGGGAGGGAGAGGUGGAGGUGUAGAGGAUGGGAGGGAGAGGUGGAGGUGUAGAGGAUGGGAGGGAGAGGUGGAGGUGUAGAGGAUGGGAGGGAGAGGUGGAGGUGUAGAGGAUGGGAGGGAGAGGUGGAGGUGUAGAGGAUGGGAGGGAGAGGUGGAGGUGUAGAGGAUGGGAGGGAGUGGUGGAGGUGUAGAGGAUGGGAGGGAGUGGUGGAGGUGUAGAGGAUGGGAGGGAGAGGUGGAGGUGUAGAGGAUGGGAGGGAGUGGUGGAGGUGUAGAGGAUGGGAGGGAGUGGUGGAGGUGUAGAGGAUGGGAGGGAGAGGUGGAGGUGUAGAGGAUGGGAGGGAGAGGUGGAGGUGUAGAGGAUGGGAGGGAGUGGUAGAGGUGUAGAGGAUGGGAGGGAGGGGUGGAGGUGUAGAGGAUGGGAGGGAGUGGUGGAGGUGUAGAGGAUGGGAGGUAGUGGUAGAGGUGUAGAGGAUGGGAGGGAGUGGUGGAGGUGUAGAGGAUGGGAGGGAGUGGUGGAAGUGUAGAGGAUGGGAGGGAGAGGUGGAGGUGUAGAGGAUGGGAGGGAGUGGUAGAGGUGUAGAGGAUGGGAGGGAGAGGUGGAGGUGUAGAGGAUGGGAGGGAGUGGUGGAGGUGUAGAGGAUGGGAGGGAGAGGUGGAGGUGUAGAGGAUGGGAGGGAGUGGUGGAGGUGUAGAGGAUGGGAGGGAGUGGUGGAGGUGUAGAGGAUGGGAGGGAGUGGUGGAGGUGUAGAGGAUGGGAGGGAGAGGUGGAGGUGUAGAGGAUGGGAGGGAGUGGUGGAGGUGUAGAGGAUGGGAGGGAGUGGUGGAGGUGUAGAGGAUGGGAGGGGGUGGAGGAGGAGGAGGUGUUAGGGAUUAGGGGGAAGGGUGAAGUGGUAGGGCGAGAGAGGGUCAAAGAAGGAAGCAAGGAGUCACGAACGGCAAGGGGAUUGAGAGGGAGGGGAUCAAGCGCACAAAGAAGCAAGUCUAAGUCUAAGUAUUUUAAGAACUGCCACUGCUAUUUUAAGAAAUUAAAUGUUCUAUUGUUCUGAAGUAUGGCUCCAUACAAUUUACAAUACAAACAAUAUACAAUUCAAAACAUAUGCACUCUGCCUCUGAUAUUUACACUGAUAUUUACACUGAUAACAUCCAUCAUUAAAAACAUGAUCUGUCAAUAGAUAAAUAAUAAUACAAAUCUGAUAACAGAAGUAAAAACAGAGAAAGCAUGAUAGAAAUUGCACAAUAAAACAAGAAUGAAGAAGAGUAUUUGUAAAGAGUAAUGAAUGAGGCAGUCUAUUCCUGUUAUGAGGAGUCAUGACAUUCGUUCUCCUCAUCUCUGUACUCUGAAAUAGGUAGGUUAAGCAGCUCUCCGUGAUGAGCCACCUCGCAGGCCAAGCAUGAUUAUCAAGUUCCGUUAACAGAUCUCUCAGGUAGAUUGGAGCAUAUUUAUUGAGACACAUUUUUAGAGCAAUCAGAACUAGUGCUAGUUAAUUUGUUAAAUCUGUUUUUUCCCCUGUUGCCAUAGUGGUGGUAGUGAAUGUCCUCUCAAUUAAAUAUGAACACUACAUUAUUAUAAUUGUAUUUUACAUCUCACUCUAGAAGAAGGAACAUUCUCUCUAAAGGUAUUCUGGGGAACUAAACUAAGCAGAAUAC